CAAAUUAAAGCUAAUAAAUUAGUAUUUUAUUUACAAUAAAAUUUAAAAUUAUAACCUUAAUAAUUUAAUUUGA
rnacentral:tRNA from 1 species